UACGAGGGGGGCGAGCGUUGUCCGGAUUUACUGGGCGUAAAGAGCGCGCAGGCGGUCGUUCAAGUCGAGUGUGAAAGCCCCCGGCUCAACUGGGGAGGGUCAUUCGAUACUGAUCGACUCGAAGGCAGGAGAGGGAAGCGGAAUUCCCGGUGUAGUGGUGAAAUGCGUAGAUAUCGGGAGGAACACCGGUGGCGAAGGCGGGUCUCUGGGCCGAUACUGACGCUGAGGAGCGAAAGCGUGGGGAGCGAACAGG
rnacentral:rRNA from 1 species